UACGUAGGCAGCAAGCGUUGUUCGGAGUUACUGGGCGUAAAGGGUGCGUAGGCUGCGCGGAAAGUUGGGUGUGAAAUCCCUCGGCUCAACCGAGGAACUGCGCCCAAAACUGCCGUGCUCGAGGGAGACAGAGGUGAGCGGAACUUAGGGUGGAGCGGUGAAAUGCGUUGAUAUCCUAAGGAACACCGGUGGCGAAAGCGGCUCACUGGGUCUCUUCUGACGCUGAGGCACGAAAGCUAGGGUAGCGAACGGG
rnacentral:rRNA from 1 species